AUGGAUGGAAUAUUAGGAUUUAGUAGCCUAGCGCCCAAGACAAAGAAUUUCAUAGUUGCUGGAGGUUUGACAACUUUUGUGUUUGGAGCAUACUUCUACACCAUGAGAGCUGUUGGAGGUACUGAUGAACUACAUGUAUCCAUAGAUAAGUUUGUAGAAGACAAGACCACUAAAGAGGGUGAAGCAAGCAUUCCAUCAAAGGUCUAA